AGGGUUCGAUUCUGGCUCAGGACGAACGCUGGCGGCGUGCUUAACACAUGCAAGUCGAACGGAGCACCCCUGAUCGAGGUUUCGGCCAAGUGAAGGGAAUGCUUAGUGGCGGACUGGUGAGUAACGCGUGAGGAACCUGCCUUCCAGAGGGGGACAACAGUUGGAAACGACUGCUAAUACCGCAUGACGCAUGACCGGGGCAUCCCGGACAUGCCAAAGAUUUAUCGCUGGAAGAUGGCCUCGCGUCUGAUUAGCUAGUAGGCGGGGUAACGGCCCACCUAGGCGACGAUCAGUAGCCGGACUGAGAGGUUGACCGGCCACAUUGGGACUGAGAUACGGCCCAG
rnacentral:rRNA from 1 species